ACAAUUUUUACACAUUGUCUCAGUCAAUUUACGUCAACGUCACGCACCCUAAACCUGGUUUUCCCUGAACCUCGUGCACCCACAACCUUGCGCAGCGUCAACCUCGCGCACCCUUAUCCUCGUUGCUUUCUCUUUGCACUUCAUUCUUGGCUUUUUCGACGACUCACCACCUGCUUCAAAAGAUGCUACAAACCGGAAGAAGCACUAGUGCUAUAGUUAUCAUUCUUCCAGGGGAUAAAAUAUUAGGUCUGGCAAAAAUUUCUUGGGUAUUGGAAUCCCAGGAGAUGCCAAGGACUUCUUCAAUCAAGUCGAGUCAUUAGGUUUUCUAGAGAGCAAUAGGAAAGUGCUUUACUAAAAACAAUCUUAUUUUAAAUUGCAGCUUUAUGGGGGAUAUUUCCAUAUAUUUUCCUGUUUCUUCUUUGCCGAUAUAUCUUGACCUCAUUAUAUCUAGUGAUAAUAUGUAACUUGUAUUUCUUAUUGUGGUGUAGGAUUUCCAUUCCAUUGAUAUUGUCACUCCCAGAAAGAGUUUAUUCAUUGACCAAGAAAGGCCACCUUAAGAAAUUGGGAUAGUUGAUGGGGUAAUCCCAUUGCCUUAUCACGACAUUUGUCUGGCAAAAGGAAAGUAGGAAAUAGUUGGUGAAGGGUGAUCUAGUAGCCAUUUGGUUGUAGUCGAUUUUGAGUCUCAGCCAUCCUUUGGUAAUGCAGAAAUCACAGUUCUGGACAGUGAUGUUGGAAGUGGUGAAACCCAGAAAAAAAGUUGAGGUUUUCUUUCCAAUUGACAACUCCUCAUGGUCAUGUUUUUAAGCCUAAUCAGGCGUUUUUCAAGUUGAGACAUUUAAAACAUGUACAGUUUACAUGUUCUGAUUUGGUAAAUCAUAAAUCUAGUUGAGGAUGAAAAUGACAUCCAAAAUGUUCCUGCUUCCUUGAAAUGCCAGCUUUGUGACCGACAAUGAACCAAGGAAACAUUACUAAAUGGAGGAAACAAGAGGGAGACAAGGUUAAUUUAAAAUACCUUGGUAGAGUUGUGUUCAACACAAAUGACGGGAACUGAUUCACACACAACUAUGAUUGAUGGCCUGGGUGUUGCUGGAUGGGGAGUUUUGCCCCAAAAAGUUUCAAUUUUUUAGAACAAGCACAUUCACGGUUGGCUGACGUUGUUGCCAUUGAGGUCACGGGUGGACCUAAAGUUUCAUUCCAUCCUGGAAGAGAGUCAACCCAAAUAGGAAAUCAAAUCAACAUAACAACAAUGGGAGAAGUUACAUGUUUCCUUUUUCAAAUACUAGCACUUCGGAGGCUUAACAACAACUAUGCUCUCGACUUUGCAGUUGAUAUAUGCUCUCGACUUUGCAGUUGAUAGAUACACAUGCAACAUUUGUUAAUGCAAAUACCAUUCAAUUACCUGUGUAUAUGAUCAUACUUGAUACUACAGAGAAAUUAUUUCUUUUGGAUAGGCAAUAAUGGUUGUUAUGACUGCCAUUAAGAGUAUAUUGUUGUCACUGCUUUUUUUUUGUUGGUUAUUUUCAUGCAAUUCAGGUGGGAAUGGAACUUAUCAAAUAGUUUGGUCAAAAACAAAUUAAGUAUGUGAGAGUAUGUACCAUCAAUAUAGUCGCCAAUGUGGCUUUCAAUUUUUCUUCUUCUCUGUUUUCAAGGUCUUGCGAGAUGUGGAAAGAGUUGCAGACUAAGGUGGCUGAAUUACCUAAGGCCAAACCUCAAAAGAGGAAACUACACCAAGGAAGAGGAGGAAACUAUUAUCAAGCUGCACCGACAUCUGGGUAAUAGGUAUGCAACAGAGCAUAGAUGUAGAGUAGUUGUUAAAGGACCAAAUCUGAGUGGAAAUAUAUCAGGAACAGAGCCAUUGAAGGACAACCACAUACUUUUGAAAGUAGAAGCUUUAGAUGAUUCCCAUGAAGCAAGGAACAUUGUUGCUGUUGUUAAUGAGUUGUCCAAGGAAAUAACAAAAAAUUUGGUUUCUCAUCCUGUGAAUGCUAAAUGUACUGCAAAAGGGAAGAACAUAGCAAAUGUAGUCCUUUUAACCCAUUUAUGUAUCCUUCUACUUCAAAGGAAAACACAUCAAAUAUGUAGCAAUCAUUAGAAAUAAAAUAAUAUAGAAUUGUAUGUUUUGCAGUUUUGAGUUUCCCAUCUUUUUAGCAUGAUAGUAUGUUGCUUUUUUAAUUUUUAAUAUUGUUGACGUUCAAAAGGAGGUGACUGAGAUUUUUUAGUUUGGCCACAGAAGUGGUUUUUCUGUAACUUCAGCAUUCUCUAUAUAGUCCCAAAAUACUUGGAUAAAAAGUUAAAUGGCAGUCAGUCUGUCAAAAGAUGAUAUUGAAUCCAGGAAAAGUAAAAUGGGCAUACAAAAAUUACGCAUUCCUAGACUCUUAAAAUAUGAGACUACAACACAAUAUUAGAGUUAACUCUUGCAUCUUUUUUUCUUAGAAUGUUGCUCCUUCAUUUCUCUUUCUUUUUACCCUGUUCUAGCCUUCUAGGUUAUAUUUAUUUAUAAAUCUUUGGAUUACUUAAUUUUGAUGAGACCUUAUAUGGUA